UGAGGGCAGGGUGCCUGGAGAAGAGGCUGGCCAAAAAAACACCUCCAUAAGCAGGGUGGUGGGAAGUUGCGGUGGGCACAGGAGGCCUUGGCACGUCCUCUGAGAGCCAGGGAUCCGCUGAACCCAGGGCCUCAAGCAUGCUAGGCAGGCACUUUAUCACCAAAUUACACUCCCAGCCCAGUUCCUCAUAGCAAAUUUCAUUAAACUUUUCUUUAACAACUGAA